rnacentral:siRNA from 1 species
GGCCGUCGGUGCAGAUCUUGGU